CCUACGGGUGGCUGCAGUCGAGGAUCUUCGGCAAUGGGCGAAAGCCUGACCGAGCGACGCCGCGUGGAUGAUGAAGGCCUUCGGGUUGUAAAAUCCUGUCGAGGGGGAUCAAGUGCAACUUGAGUGAUCCCUGGAGGAAGCACGGGCUAAGUUCGUGCCAGCAGCCGCGGUAAGACGAACCGUGCAACCGUUAUUCGGAAUCACUGGGCAUAAAGGGCGCGUAGGCGGCUUUCUAAGUCAGGGGUGAAAUCCGGCAGCUCAGCUGGCGCAGUGCCUUUGAUACUGGAGAGCUCGAGGGAGGUAGAGGUGUGUGGAACUUCCGGUGGAGCUGUGAAAUGCGUUGAUAUCGGAAGGAACGCCGGUGGCGAAAGCGACAGACUGGAUCUCUUCUGACGCUGAGGCGCGAAAGCCAGGGGAGCAAACGGGAUUAGAUACCCUAGUAGUC
rnacentral:rRNA from 1 species